AUGGGCGCCUGGAUCAGGAGCACAGCGAACACUCUGCUGGAUCCAGAGGGACGGAAUUCAGCGGUACUUACUAAGGAAGCUGUGUACUGGUGCCAUCUUGAUCCUAACACUGAGCACCCUGUUGGAGCUUAUCUCUGGAAAUGGACCUGGGGGACUUGCUACAUACCUUUGCAUGUCAUCAAUGGUGAAUCUUCAUUCUUGAAGGACAUAUUUGAUUUGAGGAAGAGCCAAACUUCAUAAUAACCUCAAUCUAGAAUGAUAGGUGAUUUGGCAGAGAAUUAUCAUUUUGGGUAGAAAUAAUUAUAAAACCUUUUUUUCUCUUCUAACAUCAUCUUUCUGACUGACAUCACGGAGUCUAAGAUUUUCAGUUUUGGAAACAUUUGAAGAAAUAAUGAAAGGCAUUCCAAAAGAACUUCAUGCUGAAUGCCAUUUGGACAAUCUAAACUCAGUCCUGAAUUUGGAGUAUCAAUAUCAUCUAUUCAGGGAAUGUUAAAAACAUGGUAUUUCAAGCCAAUAAAAUUAGUAAUACUAACAUUUGUGCAAUACUUCUAAGUUUUCAGAGGGCCUUUGGAAUCCGUAUUUAGUGGUUACCAAGUUCCAAAGAGGCAGUAUUUGAUCACAAAGAUGUUUAACCCCUUUGGGUAUAAAUAAAGGAGCUUAAACUAACGUUUGUGUAAUGUAAUGGGGAGCCAAGCAAGAAGACAUGAGGCACAUGAGAACAGAGGUAGCCUUUAUUGGGCUCGCGGGCGAGGUUCACUGGUCCCCUAGGAGGAGAGCCAAGGAAGUCGCGCUUGGGGCAGGUAUCGGGGGCCUUUUAUGGGGCAAGGUAGGCGGGGUUUGUAGGUUUCGGUUCUCCUGAGUUAGGUUUCAAUUUCUGAGGAAUGAUGUGUCCAGGAGCUUGCGCAGAGUGGGGGUUUUUUGGUGGGCUCGGGCUUUUUUCGAGCGCUGAGAGUCUUAGCAGGAAGUGAAGGGUGGGAAGUCCUAACAAAGGGCCUGCCAUGCUGGGUGAUACCACCCUGUUGGGUCUAGAUUCCUGCCUAACAGUUUGAUCCUCUGAUUGGAUGAAAACUUAAUCUUUUAGACACAUACUAUCAUAUUUUAUGGUGAAGUGAUUAGAAACCUCGGCUGGGGAGCCAGCCUACCUGGGUUCAAAUCUUGCCUCCAUCAAUUAUAUAGUUCAAAUUAACCUUUUAGAACCUCAAUUUUCUUCUUUGUGAAAUGGAAAUAACAAUACUACCUACCCCAAAGAAUUUUUUGAGUAUCAAAUUCAUUUAAGAUAUAUACAUUGCAUAUAGUAAGCACUAAAAAAAUGUCCAUUGUGAUUACCCAAUCACACUAUAACAUAGGCAGGGCAGAUAUUCUCAAUCUCAAUUUUAUUUGAUUGGCACAACAAUCUUGAUUGAGAUGUGAAAAUGCCCAAAAAAUAAAGGGUCAGAGUUUAAAACUUUCUAAAAUGCCCUGUACACAAGCUAGAUUAUAACAAUAUCUGUUUUUCUUUUCAGUUACUCUAGUGAACAAUAACUCUGUUUUAGAACACUGUGACUAAAUAGGAAUUUGUAAAGCCCAUUGUUAUUUCUUACUUUUUUCUUAUCAGAGCAUUCCUGAAAAAAGAUUUAAUACACAUGGAUGCUUAAAAAUUACAAGAAUAGCACAGAUUGACAUGACACAUGCAUUCUACUAUAUGUUCUUUCAAAAUUGAAGCAAAGGG
ensembl:lncRNA